ACAUCAGUGAGGUCUAUCCUUACCUGUUAUCUUAUAAUUAAGAUUACAGAACAUGAUGAUUGGAUUUUAUGAAUAUGUGAUUAUAAUCCAUAUUCAUUUGGGGCCUGCAACCCCUUUAUGAGUCCUAUCUGAU